rnacentral:rRNA from 1 species
GGCCCGCACAAGCGGUGGAGUAUGUGGUUUAAUUCGACGCAACGCGAAGAACCUUACCCAGUCUUGACAUCCCGGGACAACCAUAGAGAUAUGGCUUUUUCCUUCACGGGAAACUCGGUGACAGGUGCUGCACGGCUGUCGUCAGCUCGUGUCGUGAGAUGUUCGGUUAAGUCCGGUAACGAGCGCAACCCCUGUUGUUAGUUGCCAGCACGUAAUGGUGGGAACUCUAACAAGACUCCCGGUGUUAAACCGGCGGAAGAUGGGGACGACGUCAAGUCAUCAUGGCCCUUACGACUGGGGCUACACACGUACUACAAUGGCGACUACAAAGAGUAGCGAAACAGCAAUGUCAAGCCAAUCUCAAAAAGUCGCCUCAGUUCGGAUUGGAGUCUGCAACUCGACUCCAUGAAGUUGGAAUCGCUAGUAA